ACCUGGGUGGCUCAAUUGGUUAAGCAUCUGACUUCAGCUCAGGUCAUGAUCUCACAGUUUGUGGGUUCAAGCCCCACGUCGGGCU
rnacentral:tRNA from 1 species